GACGAACGCUGGCGGCGUGCCUAACACAUGCAAGUCAACUUGAAGGAAGGAGCAAUCUGACCUGAUGGUGGCGCAAGGGUGCGUAACGCGUAAGUAACUUGCCCAAGGUAAGGAAUAACGUCGAGAAAUCGGCGCUAAUACCUCAUAAUGCAGCGGAUCCGCAUGGAUAUGUUGUUAAAGGUUUACCGCCUUGGGAUAGGCUUGCGUCUGAUUAGCUAGUUGGUGUGGUAAUGGCACACCAAGGCUACGAUCAGUAACUGGUCUGAGAGGAUGAUCAGUCACACUGGAACUGAGA
rnacentral:rRNA from 1 species